UCCUUCUUCUCCCCUCGUUCUCCGGAUUUAUUGGGUUUAAAGGGAGCGUAGGCGGCCUAUUAAGUCAGGGGUGAAAGACGGUGGCUCAACCAUCGCAGUGCCUUUGAUACUGGUAGGCUUGAAUGUAGUUGAGGUAGGCGGAAUGUGACAAGUAGCGGUGAAAUGCAUAGAUAUGUCACAGAACACCGAUUGCGAAGGCAGCUUACUAAGCUAUGAUUGACGCUGAGGCUCGAAAGCGUGGGGAUCAAACAGG
rnacentral:rRNA from 1 species